CUUGCAUGUCCCAGUUCCCACCAGCCUUAUCAGUCAGCUCUUCUCAGAAUGUAUUGGAACCACAAAUUAUCAAGGACAUCCUGCCCUAUCUCCUUUUCUGUACUUCCCUUCUUAUGCCUUAAAUAAAGUGACCCACUGGCUGCAGCAGUCCGUCUUCUCCCCACCCAGUCCUGCUUUAGUUAUCUUUUGCUUUCUGCAUCUUCCACCACCUGACUCAGGCCCUGGACGCUUGCUGUGCAGGCUGUGGCAACUGGCAGCCAACAUGGCCUGAAUACUGGGAACUACCAUUUGACAGAGGAGAAGACAGCCCCGUUUGCGCACACUAAGGAGGGGAGGUCUGAAAUCCAAAACAAAGCCAGAGAAACUGCAACUGUGCUCUACCAGACAUAAAGAGUUUUUACAAGAGGGAUCAAGUUACAAAUUUUAGCUAAUGUUAUUGAUCUGCUCUUCCGGGUAUUCAACAACUAAAGUUUAGAGACCAGAACUAGAAAGGUAACUGGACUAAGAAGACAGCCAAUAUUUUGGCCCUGGCCUUUCAAGGUCUGCAAACAACCCAGGACAUGAAGAACCUUUGCUAAAGAUCCUACAACUUUGAAAAUAAAAAGAUGCUGUGGACAUCAUCAUCACAGAAUGUAUCACCAUAGACCAAGAUGAUGGAUUUGCUGCAAGCAGCAUGCUGUGACACCCCUGCUGAAGCCAUACAAAGACUGCACCUGAGUGACUCCCUUCACCUGAUACAGUCCUGAGAUCUACAAAGAUGACCAGACAUGAUGCAGCUGCCUUUUUCAAACAGAAAAGGGGGAGAUUCAUCGGGUCGAGCCUGAAGAUGGCCCUUUGCCUCCUCUCUGCUCUCUUUCUCUUCCCAACUCCCUUUCUGCUCCAUAAACUAGAUAGUCACUAAUGUGUCCUACCUUCUGGGAGGCCAUGGCUUCCAUGAUGUAGCUCCAAGUUCAUCCAACUUUUCCUUUCUAGGCAUGUCCCCUGGACUGCCUAUGUGCUUUGGACCUAGUACCUUUUGCUUAUCCAUAAAGCAGAUGUCUAACUUUGCACUUAUUCAAAACAUCACUGGCAGAACUCUUGAUGAAACAUUUCUCUAUCAUAGUGCUUCUAUGUCCAAAAGGAACGCCUCUUUUCCCUGCCCCUUGAGGCCUUGUCAUAAUAUUUUGUGCAGUCUUACAAAUCCCAUUUAUGUACCAUAGGAAGAUUGUUUUUGGCCUCUUCAAACAUUACCACAUUGCAACAGGCGGAGUUUGUAGACUGGUCACAUAGUAUUUACAACUUUUCAGGCUCUUACCCUAACCCAAGUUUAUUCAUAAACCUCACAUAUAGGCAGAGGGAUCUAUAGAGGCUCAUGGCUGCAUUGCAACUGCAAUUUGACCAAUUGUCUUACUACCUUGAAUGCAAACCACUCUACGAUGUUGUUGUACAGACCAUCAUUUCUCAUGGUUCCUACUAACCUCUCCGGACCCUGGUAUUAUGACCAGGGUCUCCAAGUGUUGAAA